GUCUGGCUUCCAUCUGCUCAGAGUACUGCAAGAACAUCUUUCUGCCUCUCAGAUAACUUUUGGGCAUUCUGAAAUUGUCCUGCCCAAGGUCCGCACAUACUCAAAGGGAUUUGAUCUUUCUUCCAUUCAAAAAGAGCACAGAGUGCAUAUUGCUGGUGUAACAGGGUGGCCUGCCUCAUGGGCUGCAGAGCCUGGGGCUAAGCCAACCCUGAUUAUAGUAUCAGUCCCACCUGAGAGGAAUCAGGUGGCUCCAGUACAAAAGGAACAGGAAGUGGCAGUGAAGGGGAAGCUAUAUCUGCAGAUGCUGCAGGGUCUAAGAAUGCUCCUGCAGGGCUCUGUGUCAGCAGGAGAAAAGAUCAGAAGCAGGGCAGAGUGAGAGAGCUCUCCAGCCACCCUGCUAGCUCAGUGCAUGGAUAGCUCCCGGCUCUUCUCCCUGGGCUUUCUGUGGGAGCUGGGUACGAGAUGACAUGUGAAGGAGUUUUAGCUUCUAGAUCCAUCGUCUCCAGACAUGGGCAAGGAUCAAUGGCAGAGGAGUGCUUGAGUAACAGACACAAGGAGCAUGGAGCUCAGAAGAAGGGAAUGGAGGGAAAACAGUCCAACUCCUCAUCUCUAAUGGGCUUGGCUGCUCACUGAAGAUGGAGGCCUCACUCUAAUGCAAAAGUUUUGGGGGCCAGAAAAGAUAAUCAAUGAAAGACCGUUUCCAACCUGCCUUCAAAGGAAAUCCCAGACAUAUCCUUGCUUUGAAACCUUACAGCUGCAUUGGUACCACAAUAUUGCUUCCCUUGCUUGGGAAAGUUCGACAACAAUAAAGAAUGAUAGUUAUGAGAGAGUCUGCACUGCUUGGGAGUAGGAGCAUGGAAAACAACUCAUCUGUUCUGUUAACUGUCAUCCAAAAAUAUUUAGUCCUCCAUUAUGAAAAAUGAAGCAUUAGUAGGGACAUCUAUUUACCAAGUUCAAGUGUUUGGGCAACAGGUUCCAAAUUGAUAUGUAAAUCACUGUGUUCUCUCUCUCUCUCUCUCUCUCUCUCUCUCUUUUUUAAUCCUCUCUGACUAAACAAGCUUAAACUUUUCAACU